UGGAGUAUGUGGUUUAAUUCGAUGCAACGCGAAGAACCUUACCUGGUCUUGACAUCCGGACGACCUUAGGAACUAGGGGUGCUUCCAUCUGGAAGAAUCUGGAGACAGGUGCUGCAUGGCUGUCGUCAGCUCGUGUCGUGAGAUGUUGGGUUAAGUCCCGCAACGAGCGCAACCCUUGCCUUUAGUUGCCAGCAGUUCGGCUGGGCACUCUAAAGGGACUGCCGGUGUUAAACCGGAGGAAGGUGGGGAUGACGUCAAGUCCUCAUGGCCUUUAUGACCAGGGCUACACACGUACUACAAUGGCCGAUACAAAGGGCAGCGACACUGCGAGGUGAAGCCAAUCCCGUAAAAUCGGUCUCAGUCCGGAUUGGAGUCUGCAACUCGACUCCAUGAAGUUGGAAUCGCUAGUAAUCGUGGAUCAGCAUGCCACGGUGAAUACGUUCCCGGGCCUU
rnacentral:rRNA from 1 species